rnacentral:rRNA from 1 species
ACAGAGGUCCCAAGCGUUGUUCGGAUUCACUGGGCGUAAAGGGUGCGUAGGCGGCCGGGUAAGUCUGCUGUGAAAUCCCGCAGCUCAACUGCGGAACUGCAUCGGAUACUAUCCGGCUUGAGGAAUGGAGGGGAGACUGGAAUACUUGGUGUAGCAGUGAAAUGCGUAGAUAUCAAGUGGAACACCAGUGGCGAAGGCGAGUCUCUGGACAUUUCCUGACGCUGAGGCACGAAAGCCAGGGGAGCAAACGGGAUUAGAUACCCCGGUAGUCCUGGCCCUAAACGGUGCGCGUUUGCUGUGAGCGGAGUCGAAUCCGUUCGUGGCGAAGCUAACGCGUUAAACGCGCCGCCUGGGAAGUACGGCCGCAAGGUUA